UUGAACCGCAUGGUUCAAAAGUGAAAGACGGUCUUGCUGUCACUUAUAGAUGGAUCCGCGCUGCAUUAGCUAGUUGGUAAGGUAACGGCUUACCAAGGCAACGAUGCAUAGCCGACCUGAGAGGGUGAUCGGCCACACUGGAACUGAGACACGGUCCAGACUCCUACGGGAGGCAGCAGUAGGGAAUCUUCCGCAAUGGGCGAAAGCCUGACGGAGCAACGCCGCGUGAGUGAUGAAGGUCUUCGGAUCGUAAAACUCUGUUAUUAGGGAAGAACAUAUGUGUAAGUAACUGUGCACAUCUUGACGGUACCUAAUCAGAAAGCCACGGCUAACUACGUGCCAGCAGCCGCGGUAAUACGUAGGUGGCAAGCGUUAUCCGGAAUUAUUGGGCGUAAAGCGCGCGUAGGCGGUUUUUUAAGUCUGAUGUGAAAGCCCACGGCUCAACCGUGGAGGGUCAUUGGAAACUGGAAAACUUGAGUGCAGAAGAGGAAAGUGGAAUUCCAUGUGUAGCGGUGAA
rnacentral:rRNA from 1 species